UGUAUUGAACACUUGUUUUGUCACAUGCUGCACUACACGUGUUACAUAUGUUAACCCACUUAGUCCUCCCGACCACAAGUGAGGGAGACUAUUGUUAUCUCCAUUUCACAGUUGAGGAAAUUGAGGCACAGAAACAUUGUUACUUGCCCAAGGUUCACAAUUGAAAGGAGGCACAGCUGCAUUAUAGACGUGGGUGACUGAAAAGUUCACAUUACCUCUACCUAUCUCCUCAUUUCUUAAAUGUAUGGUCCUCAGACCAGCAGGACCUCAUCAUGUAUGAGAGAUGGAAUCUCAUCCAGACCCAAGCCAGAACCUGCAUUUUAACAAGGAGGUUCAAAUGCAUAUUCAGUUUGAAAAGCCCUGCCCCAGCCCAUGCUGUAAUGUUGCCCUUUUAAAAUAUAUUGGUCAUGUGGAUUUCUUCCCUGGUGAAAGGCUUUUCCUAUCUGUUGUCCAUUUUCUAUAGGUGACUUAUCUUUUCUUAUUGACUUAUGGGUUUCUUUAUGCUGAAUCUGAAUCCUUUGUGGCAUGGAUCAAACACUUCUCUCCCAGUAUGUAGCUUGUCACUUGCUUAGAGUGAUUUCUGCUGGCUCCAUCCACCUUUCUAAAUCCAUCUUUCUUGUCCAGAACCAGGCAAUAAUCUCAUUCCAUGAAGCCUCCUCCAACUCUCCCCACCUCCUCGGAUUUGUCUUUCCCUAUACAGAGGAGCCUGGUAGGCUGCAGUCCAUGGGGUCACUGAGGGUCAGACACGACUGAGCGACUUCACUUUCACUUUUCACUUUCAUGUAUUGGAGGAGGAAAUGGCAACCCACUCCAGUGUUCUUGCCUGGAGAAUCCCAGGGACUGCGGGGCCUGGUGGGCUGCCGUCUAUGGGGUCGCACAGAAUCAGACACGACUGAAGAGACUUAGCAGCAGCAGCAGCGUAAUCCUUAUGGUCUAGGGCUCCAUCUGACCCUGGCUAUAGCUAGCGGCGAUCCUCUGCCCAUAAGAUCAGCAAAUCUCAGCUUGUCAGAGAAACCUGGGUUUUUAUUCUGAUUCUGCCAAAUUAAUACCUAUCUAAUUUAAGGCGGCAAGUCACAGCCUGUCUGUUUCCUUAUCUGAAAAUGGAGAUAAGAAUACUUAGCUCAGAAUUUUGUGGUUAGAACGAAGUAAGUGCACAUAAGUGAAGGUGUUCUGCACCCUGGGAGAAUACAAUAUUGUUUCUGAAUGGCUUGGUUUGUUUAUAAUUACAAAGAGAUCUGCUUGAGGUGGGGACUACUUUGUAGUCCAGGGCGCAGCUCAGGGUUGGUCAAUAGUAAGUGGGCACCACAACUAGAUUGACCCAGGCACCUGUCACAUCGACUUCCAGACCUGCCUAGAGGUGAGGUUCAGUCCCUGCUUCAGCAUCUAUCACUGUACCUUCCAUAACUCUGGGAGUCCUGGCUGGAUGCCUUGCCUCGCUGAGACUCUGUUUCCUCAAUUCUAACAUGGAGAUGUUAAACCCCAUCCUGCUUUCCCAGAAGGAUGCUGUAAAGACACAUUUAAAGGUGACAGUGAAAGUACUCUAAAGGGCUUUGCAAAAGUCAUGGGGAAUCAAUAUACAAACUUCAUCAUGAAAUAUCUGCUGCUGCUGCUGCUGCUAAGUCGCUUCAGCCGUGUCCAACUCUGUGCCACCCCAUAGACGGCAGCCCACCAGGCUCCCCCAUCCCUGGGAUUCUCCAGGCAAGAACACUGGAGUGGGUUGCCAUUUCCUUCUCCAAUGCAUGAAAGUGGAAAGUGAAAAGUGGAAGUGAAGUCGCUCAGUCGUGUCCGACUCUUAGCGACCCCAUGGACUGUAGCCCAUCAGGCUCCUCCAUCCAUGGGAUUCUCCAGGCAAGAGUACUGGAGUGGGGUGCCAUUGCCUUCUCCCAUGAAAUAUAUAAGUAGACACUUUUACAAGAUAGCAUUAUAAUAUUUCUCAGUGCAGAUGAACCAAAUUUUAUUUGACACAUACAUACUUAAGCAUUAUGAAAUUUUCAGAUGUGGGGCUCCAAUAAUGACUGCAUGAUGGUAUCUCUUGAGGUAACAUUUUCAAGAGUUUUUGUUGAAACCUUUCAUUUCUAAUCAGUUGCUGAUUUCUUUCCACCCAAGCCUUCAAUUAUUGCUGCAAUGUUGCCAAACAAUUCAAGUAUAUAAAACAUAUAAUAGUAAAAUAAGCCCAAAUCAUUUAGAAGUGAACAAACAAAUAAAAAUAUUAUACUCUCAAAAUAACAAGUAAAGUAAAAUUAGACAACCCCUAAACCAGAGUUUCAGUAACUUGGAAGAGAAAAAAGUUAAAUAUUUUCACUAACUUCUAACUGAAAUAUAGCAUGUCCUUUAAUUAUGAACACAGUCAACGAUUGAUAGUACUGUGAGCAGUUCCUGUGACUUUAUCACCAAUAGAAAUCAGAUAUUUACAUAUUCCAG
ensembl:lncRNA